AUUGAACGCUGGCGGCAGGCCUAACACAUGCAAGUCGAGCGAGCGGCGGACGGGUGAGUAAUGUAUGGGGACUGCCCGAUAGAGGGGGAUAACUACUGGAAACGGUAGCUAAUACCGCAUACUAUCGGAUAACCCAUAUGGGAUUAGCUAGUAGGUGAGGUAAUGGCUCACCUAGGCGACGAUCCCUAGCUGGUCUGAGAGGAUGAUCAGCCAAACGGGGCAUAAGACACGGCCCAGCCCCCAACGGAGGCAGCAGUGGGGAAUAUGGCACAAUGGGCGAAAGCCUGAUGCAGCCAUGCCGCGUGUAUGAAGAAGGCCCUAGGGUUGUAAAGUACUUUCAGUCGGGAGGCGUUACCGACAGAAGAAGCACCGGCUAACUCCGUGCCAGCCGCCGCGGUAAUA
rnacentral:rRNA from 1 species